UGCGUUGAUGCUGCGCUGAUGAAAAUCCGAUUAUUCUUCAUUUCCGCUGCACAGUUGAUUUCCCAUCCAGCGCGGCGAGGAGGCACAUCCCAGGAGGCAGCUCCGCGACUGUUACACGAAGACCGCCUGCGCUUGGUCUGUCCCUGCCCCCUGCUGGACAUUUGUAGGAUUGCACGAUUUUUAAAUUCGAGAGGGGGGGUUAUAAAGACCACAGGAGGGCCCUCUACUGAAUUUGUUCAUUUGCUGGUGAUCGUUUCACAGCUUAUAACUCCGUUAUCAUCAGGAGGAGCAGAAGUAGUUGCAGUCUUGGUAAGACAGAGUUUUAGAAGCGGCUCCAAGCACUCC